rnacentral:piRNA from 1 species
UCUUAUAAAUGUUACAAAAAUGCAGGAGCCU